CCUACGGGAGGCAGCAGUGGGGAAUAUUGGACAAUGGGCGCAAGCCUGAUCCAGCCAUGCCGCGUGAGUGAUGAAGGCCCUAGGGUUGUAAAGCUCUUUCACCGGUGAAGAUAAUGACGGUAGCCGGAGAAGAAGCCCCGGCUAACUUCGUGCCAGCAGCCGCGGUAAU
rnacentral:rRNA from 2 species